CACCACAAAAACCACAGAAGAAAACAAUCAGCUGACCGGAGUUUACUGGAGCUUACUACAGACCAUAGAGAGGAAGGAAUUUCAUCAUGCCCAUAAUCACCUAACUGGCAAGAGCAGCUAUUGUACAGGAUCAAAGUGAUUAUUGAGUGACACUACAUUAUCUAAGAAUCUGCACUUCUCAUCUGUUUGUUCUCAUCUCAUCUCAGCAUCAGGAUGCAGAACAUAUGCAAACUAUUCUACUGCAAGCUUGACAAUACACAACACAACUGAUUGCCCUGGACAGGCAGAAGGUCUCAAAGACAGGCAAGAUAGCAGAGGCAUUGCGGACAACCUAAGGGUUUAUGACCUCCAGUGCGAAGAUGAACCAUUGCUGACACUCCCACUGUGGUCACUCACAACGCCCCUUGUGCAGUCUGCUUCAACCCUGAGAGCGUUUCUGUUGUAGUUGAAGGUGAAAUAGUUGUAAGUGAUCUCCCCAGGUUGACGGAUACACUUGUACUGUUAUUUGGGUUGAUCUAUGCUUUGAAACACCAUCCUUUAUAAACUUAUUUACAUGUUCAGAUUUGUUCAGAAAAUAAUGUCUAAACCACUAAAACUAUGCCUACUGAAUCUAAAAAAUUCCUUGUUGAAUGACGUUUUAGUUGUUUGAGCUUACCAAGAUGUGACUUACCUGGAAAUAAAUUAACAUUUAAGUCUGAUGGAAACAA